rnacentral:misc_RNA from 1 species
GUGAAUCAUCGAAUCUUUGAACGCAAAUUGCACUCUCUUCGGAGAGUAUGCCUGUUUGAGGGUCGGCCUAAAAAAAAUCGACUAAGUUGCGGUUCUGCGGUAACAUCGGUCGGAAAUUGGGUCAUCUUAAACCUUUGGGUUUAGGCGGCUAAAAAUUUUUUUUACUAUUCUAAGAACGUUCCUAACUUUU